AAUCAACGCUGGCGGCGUGCCUAACACAUGCAAGUCGAACGCGAAAGCCCCGCAAGGGGCAAGUAGAGUGGCAAACGGGUGAGUAACACGUGGGUGACCUGCCUUAGAGUGGGGGAUAACGUCCCGAAAGGGACGCUAAUACCGCAUAACAUCCUGCCUUUGAAGAGGUGGAGAUCAAAGCCGGGGACCGCAAGGCCUGGCGCUCAAAGAGGGGCCCGCGCCUGAUUAGCUAGUUGGUGAGGAAUGGCUCACCAAGGCAACGAUCAGUAUCCGGCCUGAGAGGGCGGACGGACACACUGGGACUGAGACACGGCCCAGACUCCUACGGGAGGCAGCAGUGGGGAAUUGUUCGCAAUGGGCGCAAGCCUGACGACGCAACGCCGCGUGGAGGAUGAAGACCU
rnacentral:rRNA from 1 species